AACGAACGCUGGCGGCAGGCUUAACACAUGCAAGUCGAACGGGUGUAGCAAUACAUCAGUGGCGCACGGGUGAGUAGCGCGUGGGAAUAUGCCCUUUGGUACGGAACAACCUCGGGAAACUGAGGCUAAUACCGUAUAAUAUCUGCGGAUCAAAGAUUUAUCGCCAAGGAUUAGCCCGCGUUGGAUUAGGUAGUUGGUGAGGUAACGGCUCACCAAGCCGACGAUCCAUAGCUGGUCUGAGAGGAUGAUCAGCCACACUGGGACUGAGACACGGCCCAGACUCCUACGGGAGGCAGCAGUGAGGAAUAUUGGACAAUGGAGGAAACUCUGAUCCAGCCAUGCCGCGUGAGUGAUGAAGGCCUUCGGGUUGUAAAGCUCUUUUACUCCUGACGAUAAUGACGGUAAGGGGAGAAAAAGCCACGGCUAACUUCGUGCCAGCCGCCGCGGUAA
rnacentral:rRNA from 1 species